AAGUCGUAACAAGGUUUCCGUAGGUGAACCUGCGGAAGGAUCAUUGGGAAGAGUGGGGGAUAUGAGGUGAGAGUUGGAACGAGAGUAAUAAGCGUAUUUUCAUAUAUCAUACAAUACACAACUGCUGACAAUGGAUCUCUGGGCUCUU
rnacentral:misc_RNA from 1 species